rnacentral:rRNA from 1 species
CCUACGGGAUGCACCAGUGGGGAAUACUGCACAAUGGGCGCAAGCCUGAUGCAGCCAUGCCGCGUAUAUGAAGAAGGCCUUCGGGUUGUAAAGUACUUUCAGCGGGGAGGAAGGUGUUGUGGUUAAUAACCGCAGCAAUUGACGUUACCCGCAGAAGAAGCACCGGCUAACUCCGUGCCAGCAGCCGCGGUAAUACGGAGGGUGCAAGCGUUAAUCGGAAUUACUGGGCGUAAAGCGCACGCAGGCGGUCUGUCAAGUCGGAUGUGAAAUCCCCGGGCUCAACCUGGGAACUGCAUUCGAAACUGGCAGGCCAGAGUCUUGUAGAGGGGGGUAGAAUUCCAGGUGUAGCGGUGAAAUGCGUAGAGAUCUGGAGGAAUACCGGUGGCGAAGGCGGCCCCCUGGACAAGGACUGACGCUCAGGUGCGAAAGCGUGGGGAGCAAACAGGAUUAGAUACCCGGGUAGUC